AUCCAGCUGACGAGUCCCAAAUAGGACAAAAUGCGGGUCCUGGAU
rnacentral:hammerhead_ribozyme from 1 species